GUUAAGUGACUAAGCGUACACGGUGGAUGCCUUGGCAGUUGGAGGCGAUGAAGGACGUACUAACUUGCGAUAAGCCUAGUCAAGCCAGUAAGAGGCGCUUGAGACUAGGAUUUCCGAAUGGGGAAACCCACCUGCUUGCAGGUAUCGUUAACUGAAUACAUAGGUUAACGAGGCGAACGCGGAGAACUGAAACAUCUAAGUACCCGUAGGAAAAGAAAUCAACCGAGAUUCCGAAAGUAGCGGCGAGCGAAAUCGGAUCAGCCCUUAAGCUUCGGUGUAGAUAGUGGAACGCUCUGGGAAGUGCGGCCAUAGCGGGUGAUAGCCCCGUACACGAAAUCUUAUCUGAAGUGAAAUCGAGUAGGGCGGGACACGUGAAAUCCUGUCUGAAUAUGGGGGGACCAUCCUCCAAGGCUAAAUACUCAUCAUCGACCGAUAGUGAACCAGUACCGUGAGGGAAAGGUGAA
rnacentral:rRNA from 1 species